UCGAACGGGAUGGCAGAGGAGGUGAGGAGGGAGGAAGCGUCCGGAGUGGGGCGGGCCCGGACUCCGACCCCCGGGGCGCUUCGAGCCCCCUAGCUGGUCACCGAGGCACCGCCGCUUCACCCAGGCCGGUAGCCGCCCCCUCGCGCACCCCGGCCCCGCCUCACACGCGCGCCCGAGCGAGCCCCGGGCUCCCCUCGGGCCCAGCGCGGCGCAGGGGUCAGUGGUUCUCUCGGGUCUCGGGACAGGUGAGCACCCUGAUGAAGGCCACGGUCCUGAUGCGGCAGCCUGGGCGGGUGCAGGAGAUCGUGGGCGCCCUCCGCAAGGGCGGCGGAGACCGGUUACAGAUUUCUCAAUAUGGUCAUGCUGCUUCCUCUAAUUGGACAGAAGGCGCCCACACCAGUACCUAGGGCCUUAUCCUCCCCAAGCCAGCGGCUCCCCAGUGAUUUCUGAUUUUGACAUGACCUUGAGCAGGUUUGCAUAUAAUGGAAAACGAUGCCCUUCUUCUUACAAUAUUCUGGAUAAUAGCAAGAUCAUCAGUGAGGAGUGUCGGAAAGAGCUCACAGCGCUCCUUCACCACUAUUACCCAAUUGAGAUCGACCCACACCGGACCGUCAAGGAGAAGCUACCUCAUAUGGUGGAAUGGUGGACCAAAGCGCACAAUCUCCUAUGUCAGCAGAAGAUUCAGAAGUUUCAGAUAGCCCAGGUGGUUAGAGAGUCCAAUGCAAUGCUCAGGGAGGGAUAUAAGACCUUCUUCAACACACUCUACCAUAACAACAUUCCCCUUUUCAUCUUUUCUGCGGGCAUUGGUGAUAUCCUGGAAGAAAUUAUCCGACAGAUGAAAGUGUUCCACCCCAACAUCCACAUCGUGUCUAACUACAUGGAUUUUAAUGAAGAUGGUUUUCUCCAGGGAUUUAAGGGCCAGCUCAUACACACAUACAACAAGAACAGCUCUGCGUGUGAGAACUCUGGUUACUUCCAGCAACUUGAGGGCAAAACCAAUGUCAUCCUGCUGGGAGACUCUAUCGGGGACCUCACCAUGGCCGAUGGGGUUCCUGGUGUGCAGAACAUUCUCAAAAUUGGCUUCCUGAAUGACAAGGUGGAGGAGCGGCGGGAGCGCUACAUGGACUCCUAUGACAUCGUGCUGGAGAAGGACGAGACUCUGGAUGUGGUCAACGGGCUACUGCAGCACAUCCUGUGCCAGGGGGUCCAGCUGGAGAUGCAAGGUCCCUGAAGGCGCAGGCUCCAGCCCGGCCUGCAGGCCGUGGUGAGGAGGGGCGCCUCCCCAGAGUCCGCUCCCCCGUGAACACAGAGCAGAGGCCAGGGUGGCCAGCAGUGGCUGGGUCCUUCCGCGCCCCUCCGUCCUCCUUUCCCUGAGCACCUUCAUCACCAGAGGCUUGAAGGAACCCCGCCAUGUGGCAGGGCACAGGCACUGUUCCUGGUGAACCUUGGACCACAGCAUGUCAGUGCUCUAGGGAUUGUCUACUCCAGGGAUUUUCUUCAAAAUUUUUAAACAUGGGAAGUUCAAACAAAUAUAAUGUGUGAAACAGAUCAAAAUUUUUAAAAUGAAAAAAAA
rnacentral:sRNA from 1 species